GAUGAACGCUGGCGGCGUGCCUAAUACAUGCAAGUCGAGCGGUAAGGCCUCUUCGGAGGUACACGAGCGGCGGACGGCUGAGCAACGCGUAGGAAUGUACCCCAAAGUGAGGGAUAAGCACCAGAAAUGGUGUCUAAUACCGCAUGUGAUCCACGGAUUAAAGCUUUAUGCGCUUUGGGAACAGCCUGCGCCCGAUUAGCUAGUUGGUAGUGUAAUGGGCUACCAAGGCGAUGAUCGGUAGCUGGUCUGAGAGGAUGAUCAGCCAGACUGGGACUGAGACACGGCCCAGACUCCUACGGGAGGCAGCAGUAGGGAAUUUUCCACAAUGGGGGCAACCCUGAUGGAGCAACGCCGCGUGCAGGAUGAAUGCCUUCGGGUUGUAAACUGCUUUUAUCUGUGACGAUUAUGACGGUAGCAGAUGAAUAAGGACCUGCUAACUACGUGCCAGCAGCCGCGGUAA
rnacentral:rRNA from 1 species